CGCGCACUACAGCUGCGCCAGCCCCAGCAACACCCGCCCAGCGAGGCGCCCCCUGCCUAGCGAGAGCUGCAGUCUCUGGCGGACUUUCCCAAUAGUCCAGGUGCAGGUACUGCCAGAGAGGGUAUUACACACAGUAACUGAGGAGCGCAUCCUGCCACCCCGCUCCCUGAUAUUGGUUGUUUACUUUGGCCAUAAAUAAAAGGAAUUUCCAGCAUCUCUUAGCAACGAGGUUUGCCCCUUCUUGGUGAGCUGCUUGUCCAGCGCUGUCAUCUGACUUCAGUGUCCGGCAUCUUUGGCUCUACGAACACGGGCCGGUGGUGGAUGGCGGCAGUGGACAGCGUCUCUUAGCAACAAGGCAUGCGUCUUCCUUGUGAGACUCUUGUCCAGCGCUGUCAUCUGACGUUAGAGUCCGGGGUCUUCGACUUCACGAACACGGGCCGGGCGUGGAUGGCAGUGGUGGACAGAAUCAAUGUUGGUGAAGGGUUAAGGUGCUUUCACUCUUUUGGUCCGUUUGUUAUGACUUCAGAAGACGAUCAGUGAAUGGAACGCCCCCGACCCUUAUUGCACAUGGUGUUUGUAGUAGAUAAAGGUAACUCAAGAUGGCUUUGACAAAAGAGGAGAGAAUUCAGGAUAAAGAAAAUCAUCAGGAAGCUUGCCUCCGACUUGAAAGUCUGCUCCCCCCUCUCUCUCACUCUCCCCCUCCUCACUCUUAUGGAAGGGGCUCUGAUAUUUUCUCUAUGGAAACGCUCCCCUCUCCUGUGUAGAUAGAAAAUGGAAUGAUCACAGAAUCUCACCAUAAUUUGUAGACAAGGAUUAUAUUUUAUUAGGAUGAAAACACAAAGAGAUGAUGUUGCCCACAUGGAGGGAGUUAUAAGAUUUUGCACAUUAGGAAGACCCUUGCCUGUGACAUCUGACUUGGGACAUCUAAUAGACAGGGGUCACAUGUAACUUUAGACGUUACUGUAACUGACAUUUCUAUCCAGAUUAAAAAAGCUGAGCAAAGUGCGGAAACAAUUAUAUUUUUUACAAUUACUAUUACUCAUUCCAAAUGUAGCUACACAUAGAGGUGGUGUGAUUGUGAAUAACAAGUGAGCAUACUUGCAUCUAUUUGUCAAUAGAAAAUUGCAGAGCUGUUGCAUCAUAUACUGUACAGUAUGUCAAACAUACAGAUACACAGGAGGAAAGAAAGUUAGACUUACUGGGGAGGGAGGGGAACUGUACAAAUUGGGUGCAUAGGGUUAGCAUUGCAAUGCAAAGACGUGUGUGGCAGCGCUGUACUAGAAACACCCCUGUCUGCAACCAAAGGCCAGGACUUACAGUAACAGUAAUAGACAAAGCUGCCUGAAAAAUGGAUAAGGAAAGAGUUCUCCUUUAACUAGGACCAUAUUGCGGGAAUUCAUUUCAAGGGAAUUAACAAAGUAUAUGGUGGAGCAGCCAACCAAACAGACAUUUGAAAAGUCUCCAGCGCUACUGAUUAGUUGGCACGAUCAGGAGCAGAUUAAGGGAUAAAGAUGCCCCUUGCCACUUCUCGGGACGAAACGCGUUGACAUCACUUCUUGUUGGAGUACAGCUCAAUUCAAAGAUACCAGUUCAAACACUCCUGCCGCCGUGCCGACUGCAAGAUCCGCUCACUGUUUGGAUUUUAACAAAAGUAACCGCCAGGACAAGAUCCCUGCACCAGUGCUAAGUGCCGGUGGUGGAACCAUACAAUCAGAGGGGUAAAUAUUGAUUGAAAUUUUGAAAUUCCCCAACAAAAAUCCUGCAUGAUCGGGUAAAAACUCUAUUGGGAAACCAUCCUGCACUGGGAUGCCAGUGAUAGGCAGAUCCGAGACUUUACCCCCUCUAUGGUUGUGAGACUAUACAAUCCGUUAUUGCAGGCAUAAAUUUAUAUACCGCAAUUAACAGCGGCUGCUUAAAGUGACACUGAGCAUUUUCAUAUAAUAGCUAAUCAUCUUUAUAAUCUGGAUAUCACUGGAUAAAUUACUUGCCAAUAUUAUCGGUACUUUACUGAGAUUUUACCUAUGGCAUAUCUAUGUUAAUGUACGUCUUGAUCUGUGUGUGUCAAGUGUUAUAAUUGUGGCUACUACAUUUGUUUUAGUAUCAUAUCAAUUUGUUACUAUGUAUGUGUUUUAGUAAAUAUUUGCACUGUUAAA